UCGAUUCUGCUGAAGAGGGAACAGAAGUAUCAUGGUAAGAUUAAGGCUAUUGUUGAUUCCGUUAGGGAAUCUGGCGUUAAGCUUAUCUAGAAGAAUUUGCUACUGAUGCUUCGAUACUCGAAUGUGCUGACUGAUAUUGUUCAUAGGGUCUUGAUUCGGACAAAUGCUGUUUACUUUAGCUACAAUUUGCAUAAUUGCUUGAUGUUUCUUACAUUAAAUGAAUGCUUGCUAGGGUUUCAGUUGAGAUAAGCUGUUACUUAGGCUACAAGUUGCAUAAUUUGCUUGAUGCUUUAUAUAUACACUUCAUUAAA
rnacentral:lncRNA from 1 species